GUCCUCCCCAGUGUGGGUCUGGAGAAUGGACGCCCAUCUUUCAGAACUCUGCCCAAGGGAGCCUCCUCUGUGAAACCUUUCCUGACCUCCCCCGCCCCCCCGGGUGGCAUUGGCCUUCCACAUUCUAUCACGGCACCCAUGGCACUUUCCUGGUCUCAUUUCUCUGCGCAGAUUUCUCUCCCACUGGACCACGAGCUCUUAAUCACAAGAGAAUGUGUCUUCCGCUUUGUAUCAUAACAUCUGAGACACAGCAGCACUUGGUGAAUGGCUGCAUAAAGAAUAAGGAAAUGCUGUCAUCAUGUGUUCUAUGCUAGAGUCCAAGAUCCCUAAUUAGAAGACAAGACUUCCAACGGCAAUACGAAGAGAAUCCAAGUCCGGGAUAUUUGAAAAGCGUCUCUACGGGUAGAAGUCAUGAUAAGCACUUUGGGGGGGCCUCGAUGGAGAAGUCCAGGGCUACUGUGUACCUGCCCCACACAAGCACCCUGCACCCUCCUGGGACAGAAGACACAAGUUGCUCUGUUACAACGUGUCCUGUCUUCAAAGCUGUGACAGGAAUUAAAGGGAUGGCAUUAAAAAUAA